rnacentral:rRNA from 1 species
CAAUAGCGUAUAUUAAAGUUGUUGCGGUUAAAAAGCUCGUAGUUGGAUUUCUGCUGAGGACGAUCGGUCCGCCCUCUGGGUGAGUAUCUGGCUCGGCCUUGGCAUCUUCUUGGAGAACGUUACUGCACUUGACUGUGUGGUGCGGUAUCCAGGACUUUUACUUUGAGGAAAUUAGAGUGUUUCAAGCAGGCGCACGCCUUGAAUACAUUAGCAUGGAAUAAUAAGAUAGGACCUUGGUUCUAUUUUGUUGGUUUCUAGAGCUGAGGUAAUGAUUAAUAGGGAUAGUUGGGGGCAUUCGUAUUUAACUGUCGGAGGUGAAAUUCUUGGAUUUGUUAAAGACGGACUACUGCGAAAGCAUUUGCCAAGGAUGUUUUCAUUGA